UACGUAGGGUGCGAGCGUUAAUCGGAAUUACUGGGCGUAAAGUGUGCGCAGGCGGUUGUGUAAGACAGGUGUGAAAUCCCCGGGCUUAACCUGGGAACGGCGCUUGUGACUGCACGGCUAGAGUACGGCAGAGGGGGGUGGAAUUCCACGUGUAGCAGUGAAAUGCGUAGAGAUGUGGAGGAACACCGAUGGCGAAGGCAGCCCCCUGGGUCAGA
rnacentral:rRNA from 1 species